rnacentral:rRNA from 1 species
CCUACGGGAGGCAGCAGUGGGGAAUAUUGCACAAUGGGGGAAACCCUGAUGCAGCGACGCCGCGUGAGUGAAGCAGUAAUUCGGUAUGUAAAGCUCUAUCAGCAGGGAAGAAAAUGACGGUACCUGAGUAAGAAGCCCCGGCUAACUACGUGCCAGCAGCAGCGGGAAUACGUAGGGGGCAAGCGUUAUCGGGAUUUACGGGGUGGAAAGGGAGCGUAGACGGCAGUACAAGUCUGGAGUGAAAGGCGGGGGCUCAACCCCCGGACUGCGCGGGAAACUGUACGGCUGGAGGGCAGGAGAGGUAAGUGGAAUUCCUAGUGUAGCGGUGAAAUGCGUAGAUAUUAGGAGGAACACCAGUGGCGAAGGCGGCUUACUGGACUGUAACUGACGUUGAGGCUCGAAAGCGUGGGGAGCAAACAGGAUUAGAUACCCCUGUAGUC